AUGCUGCCGGAUUACAUUACGCACGCACGCACGCCACGCCAUGCAGUAAUCAAUCGGCUCAUAAACCCCCUCCUACUCCUCCUCCUCCUGAACCCCACCGUCCCAUCUGCUCCUUUCACACAGAUCCGCAGGCCGAUUUUCUCCUCCGGAGGCCGCCCGGCGAGGAUGCAAGCCACCACGGCGGCGGCGGCGGCGGCGCAGCUGCUAACAGAUACGAGGAGAGGGCCCAGAUGUAGGGCUCGGCCGGGAACGACGACGAAAUUAUCCUGGCCAGGUCGAUUUGCAGUGGAAGCUUUUGCAGGCCAGUGCCAAAGCAGUGCUGCUACUGUCACGCAUAGAUUCAGUGCCAUUUCUCAAGCUACUAGCCCUUGA
rnacentral:rRNA from 1 species